UUGCAAACUUCAUCACUAGCUCUGCAUGAUGUGGCAAAAGCUAAGGAAACCAGGUUGCUCAAUUAAAUUAAUUGUAAUGACAGGAACAUAUUACCCUCAGAAGCUAUUAAUUGAGGUGCUCCAUUUUUUUUAAUAUACUG